UACAGAGGGUACAAGCGUUAAUCGGAAUUACUGGGCGUAAAGCGCACGUAGGCGGUUUUUUAAGUCAGAUGUGAAAGCCCCGGGCUCAACCUGGGAAUUGCAUUUGAAACUGGGGAACUAGAGUGUGUGAGAGGGGGGUAGAAUUCCAAGUGUAGCGGUGAAAUGCGUAGAGAUUUGGAGGAAUACCAGUGGCGAAGGCGGCCCCCUGGCACAACACUGACGCUCAGGUGCGAAAGCGUGGGGAGCAAACAGG
rnacentral:rRNA from 1 species